ACGGGUGAGUAACACGUGAGUAACCUGCCCUGGACUCUGGGAUAACCCCGAGAAAUCGGAGCUAAUACCGGAUAUGACUUCGCACCGCAUGGUGUGGGGUGGAAAGUUUUUUCGGUCUGGGAUGGACUCGCGGCCUAUCAGCUUGUUGGUGAGGUAAUGGCUCACCAAGGCGUCGACGGGUAGCCGGCCUGAGAGGGUGACCGGCCACACUGGGACUGAGACACGGCCCAGACUCCUACGGGAGGCAGCAGUGGGGAAUAUUGCACAAUGGGCGCAAGCCUGAUGCAGCAACGCCGCGUGAGGGAUGACGGCCUUCGGGUUGUAAACCUCUUUUAGUAAGGAAGAAGGGGAGCUUGCUCCUUGACGGUACUUGCAGAAAAAGGACCGGCUAACUACGUGCCAGCAGCCGCGGUAAUACGUAGGGUCCGAGCGUUGUCCGGAAUUAUUGGGCGUAAAGAGCUCGUAGGCGGUUUGUCGCGUCUGCUGUGAAAUCUCCAGGCUCAACCUGGAGUCUGCAGUGGGUACGGGCAGACUUGAGUGGUGUAGGGGAGACUGGAAUUCCUGGUGUAGCGGUGGAAUGCGCAGAUAUCAGGAGGAACACCGAUGGCGAAGGCAGGUCUCUGGGCACUUACUGACGCUGAGGAGCGAAAGCGUGGGGAGCGAACAGGAUUAGAUACCCUGGUAGU
rnacentral:rRNA from 1 species